rfam:Canis lupus familiaris chromosome 2, whole genome shotgun sequence.
GCCUGGGUGGCUCAGCGGUUGAGCGUCUGCCUUCAGUUCAGGCUGUGAUCCUGGGUCCUGGGAUCGAGUCCCACAUCAGGCU